UUGGAGGGCAAGUCUGGUGCCAGCAGCCGCGGUAAUUCCAGCUCCAAUAGCGUAUAUUAAAGUUGUUGCAGUUAAAAAGCUCGUAGUUGAAUUUCGGAGUUUGUCGGUUGGUCGGGCUUCACUGUCCGCACUGGCCUGAUGGAUUCCUACCUUCUGAAUAACCAGCAUGCUAUUAAGUUAGUGCGUUGGGGAAGCAGAGCUAUUACCUUGAAAAAACUAGAGUGCUUAAAGCAGGCUUAUGCUUGAAUAGAUUAGCAUGGAAUAAUAAAAUAGGACGGCAUGGUUCUAUUUUGUUGGUUUCUAGGAUCACCGUAAUGAUUAAUAGGGAUAGUUGGGGGCAUUAGUAUUCAAUUGUCAGAGGUGAAAUUCUUGGAUUUAUUGAAGACUAACUUCUGCGAAAGCAUUUGCCAAGGAUGUUUUCAUUAAUCAAGAACGAAAGUUAGGGGAUCGAAGACGAUCAGAUACCGUCGUAGUCUUAACCAUAAACUAUGCCGACUAGGGAUCGGACGAUGUUAAUUUUUUAAUGACUCGUUCGGCGCCUUACGGGAAAC
rnacentral:rRNA from 1 species